rnacentral:rRNA from 1 species
UACGAAGGGGGCUAGCGUUGUUCGGAAUUACUGGGCGUAAAGCGCGCGCAGGCGGUUUCUCAAGUCAGUGGUGAAAGCCCGGAGCUCAACUCCGGAACUGCCAUUGAAACUGUGAGACUUGAGGACGAGAGAGGUGAGUGGAAUUCCCAGUGUAGAGGUGAAAUUCGUAGAUAUUCGCAAGAACACCAGUGGCGAAGGCGGCUCACUGGCCCGGUACUGACGCUGAGGUGCGAAAGCGUGGGGAGCAAACAGG